ACAAAGGGAGUGAAAGGCCGGCAUGGCCGCACGGGGAGCACCACCGGAGGGUGUUGGGGCCGGAAGACAAGACCAGGUGCUUGUGAUGCCCAUCGACGGGCAAGCAACAGGUGUGGCACAAGGAACAAUUGCACCCAGGGAUUGGCGAUAUCGGCGAGGUCUGCAAGAGCCCCCAGGACCCAAGAAAGGAAGAACAAGGUAAGGGUAUGUGCUGAUAAUGAUCCAAACUGACAGAGGGAGAUGUGCGCAGUCUUAGAAGAUAUAUUCAGUUCUCUCCUCUCUGGUUAAUUUUGAUGUUUUUCAGAUUGUGCAGUAGUAAUAGUUAUGUACGAAGGAAUGCAAUCUUGCUGUGCACAAACUAGUGCGUUUUUCAUAUUAAGUUCAUCCAUGGUCAAAUGUUUGUACUAACUUGUAGGAACACUGCUGCAAGAGUUGUGCCAAUGUGUUUGUCAAAGCAGACUUGCAUAACAGGUAGCGUAUAUGUGUGUGUGCCUAAGCUAGUAUAGCUCACUUUGGAAAUGAAAGCUUGGUCAGCUGGAAGGAAGGUUACAUUACUCAGCUGUUGGACUGACAAGAUAAGAGUUCCUUUGAUUAUAUACGUUGGGGUUCUCUGUUAAUUUUGCUAUGCUAGUCUAAUUGAUGAUACGAUACCCUGAACCCUGCACCCCGUCCAUGAGAUCAGAAGACUCGGAUGGUGAAGAUGUUCCUCCACCCAUGAGGAAUAUCUUUCUAAGAAAUAAGAAUGGUGGCCGGUAAAGUCAUGGCUAGGAACAGGAAAGGGCUUCAGGCCAUAAAAGAGUUGCCGACGCUAAAGAAGCCGGACGAGCCAGAUUUCUCGGUCGAACCCUACGAGUAAGAACCGGUCGUUGAUGCAAGAAUUAUAGUUAACACUGAAUCCCAAAUGCAUGGUGGGAUACCUUACCAAGAGAUGCUUAUAACAGUUUAAAGUACACAUAGAUAAUAUAGUCAUCGUUACGUUGUACCUUGUACAUUCAGAUGUAGAGUAUCUGUGUUUGUAAAAUUCUUGGUGCCUCAGUACAGCGUGCAGCUACACUGACUGUCAGAGCUUCAAAGAAAUCCUGACAUUGCUGCCAUAGUAUGGAGUACCAUUUUGGAGCCUGUAAAGUACAAGGUUUGCUAUUUUGUUAAAAGUAUAGACUGUAAAGGCCACUUGAACAUCAACUUCAGGUAAUGCUGCAUAUGUGUCCCAUCA